rnacentral:piRNA from 1 species
GCUAAUCUGCAGUCACUGCUCUCAAGUGCC